rnacentral:rRNA from 1 species
UGGCGAACGGGUGAGUAACGCGUGAGGAACCUGCCUCAAAGAGGGGGACAACAGUUGGAAACGACUGCUAAUACCGCAUAAGCCCACAGGUCGGCAUCGACCAAAGGGAAAAGGAGCAAUCCGCUUUGAGAUGGCCUCGCGUCCGAUUAGCUAGUUGGUGAGGUAAUAGCCCACCAAGGCGACGAUCGGUAGCCGGACUGAGAGGUUGAACGGCCACAUUGGGACUGAGACACGGCCCAA